rnacentral:lncRNA from 1 species
AAAGCAGAAUAAUCAAAUCAAGGUAUCAAUGGAUCCCACACCUUAUCCUUUUUGGCAUCAUCAGCCAGAAAAGAAACUAGAGGUACAGAAAAUAAAUCAAGCAGUUAAUCUCUCCCAUCUAGUCAACCAAUCUAAAUUCUAGAUAUUUUGAUGUGAGGACCCCUAAAAGGCAAGCUACAGGACUCCAAAUUGAGCAAGAUUAGAUCCUACAGAAUUUUGAGAGAAGCAAGAAAGGAACAUAAUUUACAGAAUUAAAUUUGGAUUCCAGAUGAGGUGGCUACAGUAGGUUGAAUUUGGUAACAAUGUUAGACACAACAAGAAACACCCGAUACACCCAGAUUCUUCUUAGUGUUUCUUGGCACAAAGAUCUGAUAUGGCAACCAAUUUUGGGUGGCAAAGAGCUAUCUUGGAAAGAAUUAAAUGAAAGAAAAUUAGAGUCCAAACUAAUUCUGCAUGAGGAGCAAACUUAGAAAGAAUUGAAACCAAUUCUUGGAAAACUUGAUUUGGGC